rnacentral:rRNA from 1 species
UACGGGGGGGGGCAAGCGUUGUUCGGAAUUACUGGGCGUAAAGGGCUCGUAGGCUGCCAACUAAGUCGGACGUGAAAUCCCUCGGCUUAACCGGGGAACUGCGUCCGAUACUGGAUGGCUUGAGUUUGGGAGAGGGAUGCGGAAUUCCAGGUGUAGCGGUGAAAUGCGUAGAUAUCUGGAGGAACACCGGUGGCGAAGGCGGCAUCCUGGACCGGCAUUGACGCUGAGGAGCGAAAGCCAGGGGAGCAAAGCGGG